GACGAACGCUGGCGGCGUGCUUAACACAUGCAAGUCGAACGGAAAGGCCCUGCUUUUGUGGGGUGCUCGAGUGGCGAACGGGUGAGUAACACGUGAGUAACCUGCCCUUGACUUUGGGAUAACUUCAGGAAACUGGGGCUAAUACCGGAUAGGAGCUCCUGCUGCAUGGUGGGGGUUGGAAAGUUUCGGCGGUUGGGGAUGGACUCGCGGCUUAUCAGCUUGUUGGUGGGGUAGUGGCUUACCAAGGCUUUGACGGGUAGCCGGCCUGAGAGGGUGACCGGCCACAUGGGGACUGAGAUACGGCCCCGACUCCUACGGGAGGCAGCAGUGGGGAAUAUUGCACAAUGGGCGGAAGCCUGAUGCAGCAACGCCGCGUGCGGGAUGACGGCCUUCGGGUUGUAAACCGCUUUCGCCUGUGACGAAGCGUGAGUGACGGUAAUGGGUAAAGAAGCACCGGCUAACUCCGUG
rnacentral:rRNA from 1 species